CCUCCUUUCUUCCUCCUUGGGGCAUUUUGCGCAAUGCUCGUAAGAGUGACGCAGCGACGCCGCGGGAAUGACGAAGGCCUUCGGGUCGUAAAGUUCUUUCGACAGGGAAGAAAAUGCCUAUAAGUAACUGUGUAUGUAUUGACGGUACCUGUAUAAGCAGCCCCGGCUAACUCCGUGCCAGCAGCCGCGGUAAUACGGAGGGGGCGAGCGUUGUUCGGAGUGACUGGGCGUAAAGAGCACGUAGGCGGUGUUGUAAGUCAUUAGUCAAAGACUAGAGCUCAACUUUAGUAAGGCUAGUGAUACUAUAAUACUAGAGUAUCAGAGAGGAUUGCAGAAUUCCUGGUGUAGCGGUGAAAUGCGUAGAUAUCAGGAGGAAUACCGUUAGCGAAGGCGGCAAUCUGGCUGGAAACUGACGCUGAGGUGCGAAAGCGUGGGUAGCAAACAGGAUUAGAUACCCGUGUAGUC
rnacentral:rRNA from 1 species